CAGGAGAUGGUCACGGGCAGAGCAGAGAGACCGAGAAGGGACAUACCUAUGGAUCUGUGAAGAGAUAUAAGGGGCUAGAAUUGUUCAAUCCUUUAUAGGUAUGGGUUAACAAUGUAAAGACUGACAGAGGGGUGAGGUGUGAGAGGACUGACUAGAGAGGAAAAAUCAGUCUAGUGGCAGCAUUCAUUACAGACUGAAGCGGGGCAAUACGGCUUUUGGGAAGACCAAUU